rnacentral:lncRNA from 1 species
CAGGGAUGCAAUAUUGGUUCAAUAUAUAGAAAUAAAUAAAUGUAAUUCAUCAUGUCAACACUCUUAAAUAAGAUAAUCAUAUGAUUAUCUCAAUAGAUGCAGGAGAAGUAUUUGACAAAAUUCAGCAUCCAUUCAUUCAUGUUCAAAACACUAGAAAAACUAGUGGGUAGUAGGAACAUACCUCAACAUUGUAAAAGCUACAUAUUGUAAAUUCAAGGCCAGCAUCAUUCUAAAUGGAGAAUAAUUGAAAGCAUUCCCUGUAAAAACUGGAACAAGGCAAGGAUGUCCUCUUUCACCACUUCUAUUCAAUAUCAUUCUUGAAACUCUAGCCAGAGCAAUUAGACAGAAGAAAGAAAUCAAAAGAAUACAAAUAGGUAAAGAAAAUUCAAACUAUCACUAUUUGCUGAUGACAUGAUUCUAUACCUAGAAGAUCCAAAAAAUUCUACCAGAAAACUUCUAGAACUAAUGAAUGAAUUCAUCAAGUAGCAGGGUAUAAAAACUACACCCAUAAAUUGUAGGGCAUGACUUGCUGCCCGCUUCCCGGUCUUGGGGCUGCACAUGUGGCUGGGAUGGCGCCUGGCAAUCAGCCCGGAGGCGGUACUGUGGGUGGUGAUGGAAAAAAACAGACCACCUCCAGGAGAGGUACAGGACUCUUCCGCCCUCGUGGACAGCUUCUGCCUUCCCUUACAGACCAUGGGAUGGGUGUACACAUGAAAACUUGCUUCACCCCUCUGACCUUUAUCCUGAUUGGCUCCUGCACAUUAUA